rnacentral:piRNA from 1 species
UUGGCUUUGACAUGGAUUUUAAAUUUCUUGU